CCCGCACAAGCGGUGGAGCAUGUGGUUCAAUUCGACGCAACGCGAAGAACCUUACCAGGGUUUGACAUGCAAGUGGUAGGAAUCUGAAAAGGGACCGACCCUUCGGGGAGCUUGCACAGGUGCUGCAUGGCUGUCGUCAGCUCGUGUCGUGAGAUGUUCGGUUAAGUCCGCUAACGAGCGCAACCCUCACUGUGUGUUAUAUGUGUCACACGGGACUGCCGGUUUUAAGCCGGAGGAAGGUGGGGAUGACGUCAAGUCAGCAUGGCCUUUAUAUCCUGGGCUACACACACGCUACAAUGGUCGGUACAAUAGGUUGCCAAGCCGCGAGGCGGAGCCAAUCCACAAAGCCGGCCUCAGUUCAGAUUGUAGGCUGCAACUCGCCUGCAUGAAGAUGGAGUUGCUAGUAACCGCAGGUCAGCAAUACUGCGGUGAAUACGUUCCCGGGUCUU
rnacentral:rRNA from 1 species